rnacentral:rRNA from 1 species
GACGAAGGGGGCUAGCGUUGUUCGGAAUUACUGGGCGUAAAGCGCACGUAGGCGGCUUUGUAAGUUAGAGGUGAAAGCCCGGGGCUCAACUCCGGAAUUGCCUUUAAGACUGCAUCGCUAGAAUUGUGGAGAGGUAAGUGGAAUUCCGAGUGUAGAGGUGAAAUUCGUAGAUAUUCGGAAGAACACCAGUGGCGAAGGCGACUUACUGGACACAUAUUGACGCUGAGGUGCGAAAGCGUGGGGAGCAAACAGG